rnacentral:rRNA from 1 species
AGUGAACGCUGGCGGUAGGCCUAACACAUGCAAGUCGAACGGCAGCACAGUAAGAGCUUGCUCUUACGGGUGGCGAGUGGCGGACGGGUGAGGAAUACAUCGGAAUCUACUUUUUCGUGGGGGAUAACGUAGGGAAACUUACGCUAAUACCGCAUACGACCUACGGGUGAAAGCAGGGGAUCUUCGGACCUUGCGCGAUUGAAUGAGCCGAUGUCGGAUUAGCUAGUUGGCGGGGUAAAGGCCCACCAAGGCGACGAUCCGUAGCUGGUCUGAGAGGAUGAUCAGCCACACUAGAACUGAGACACGGUCCAGACUCCUACGGGAGGCAGCAGUGGGGAAUAUUGGACAAUGGGCGCAAGCCUUAUCCAGCCAUACCGCGUGGGUGAAGAAGGCCUUCGGGUUGUAAAGCCCUUUUGUUGGGAAAGAAAAGCAGCAGGUUAAUACCCCGCUGUUCUGACGGUACCCAAAGAAUAAGCACCGGCUAACUUCGUG